rnacentral:rRNA from 1 species
GACGAACGCUGGCGGCAUGCCUAAUACAUGCAAGUCGAACGCUGAAGCACUCUGCUUGCAGAGUGCGGAUGAGUGGCGAACGGGUGAGUAACACGUGGGAAAUCUGCCUAGGAGUGGGGGAUAACAUUCGGAAACGGAUGCUAAUACCGGAUAAUAAAGCAGAUCGCAUGAUCAGCUUUUGAAAGGCGGCGUAAGCUGUCGCUAAGGGAUGGCCCCGCGGUGCAUUAGCUAGUUGGUAAGGUAACGGCUUACCAAGGCGACGAUGCAUAGCCGAGUUGAGAGACUGAUCGGCCACAUUGGGACUGAGACACGGCCCAAACUCCUACGGGAGGCAGCAGUAGGGAAUCUUCCACAAUGGACGCAAGUCUGAUGGAGCAACGCCGCGUGAGUGAAGAAGGUUUUCGGAUCGUAAAGCUCUGUUGUUGGUGAAGAAGGAUAGAGGUAGUAACUGGCCUUUAUUGACGGUAAU